CCCUGAUGCACAAGGUACCUUCUACGAACUACUUAAAUUUUAAAAUUAUAAAUUUUUUUCAAAUUUCCUUUUCAGUAAAUAAAAUAAUUUUUUUUUCUUAAAUUAAUACAAAUUUAAUAUAAUUUUUGCUUCUAAUUCUUUCCAAAAAACUUUUUUAAAAU
rnacentral:rRNA from 1 species